UACAGAGGUCCCAAGCGUUGUUCGGAUUCACUGGGCGUAAAGGGUGCGUAGGCGGUCGGGUAAGUCUGACGUGAAAUCUUCAAGCUUAACUUGGAAACUGCGUCGGAUACUAUUCGGCUAGAGGAAUGGAGGGGAGACUGGAAUACUUGGUGUAGCAGUGAAAUGCGUAGAUAUCAAGUGGAACACCAGUGGCGAAGGCGAGUCUCUGGACAUUUCCUGACGCUGAGGCACGAAAGCCAGGGGAGUAAACGGG
rnacentral:rRNA from 1 species